AGCUCUUUCCCUUAAUGGGGUUUCUUGAGCUACCUAUAUUAUACUCUUUGGCUCCACCAGUCGCUCAUAUUCUGAUAUUUUUCUGUUCUUUUCUUGCUCUCAAAGUGCCUAAAAUUGUGCUUUUAUGGAGGUCAAGGGAUAAUCUUCACCUCUGUGUGUCGUCCUCUCUCAUCUCGCCACAUACAGUUCGACACUUAAACAUGCAUUUUCUUCUGCCUUCUCUCGCGCAGUUUCUCCUUUCUUCUCACAUUUCCCCCUCUCCGUGCCAGGGUUUAAAGCUUGCUUCUACAAAAUAAAGGGUUGCCAGGGUUAUAGGAUUACCAUGCGCUAAUUUUAUUUUCCACACACCUGCCAUUUGAACGGUUCAAGGAACAGGGAUGCCAUUACUAUUAAUGUUGCGAUAAGAAAUGAAUGGUGUAACGUUGCAGAAUGUCUGAUCUCGAAAAUAGAUUGGAAAUUUUAUAAGACUUUGAUGCUGGGAGGUCGUGAGCUGUCUCUGAGUCUGGUAGACUGGUUUGCUCUUGUUCAAGUUAUUAAAAAUCUCUCUCAUUCAUUCAACCUAUACUAUUUCAUUGACCACACAACUUUCACGCUUCUCCAUCACUAUGCUAGACCAAGAACAUCAAUUCUAUUUAUUCUUAUGUUUCUCUUUUAUGCGUGCUCUUGAGAUGGAUUAAUUGAUUGAUAAGUUAUUCAACAUUGGGAAAUAGGGCCAUUUUCAAUUUUGUGCUAACUUCGGUCUAGCAUUGGGUUAUGUUCUUUUUGUGGGAUUGAAGGAGACAAGAUAUGGAGAUGGGUUUAGGGGUAGAUUCAAUGGGGUUUUAGAGGCAAGAUAUGUGCAUCAGGAGAAAAAAAUCAUAAUGUUUGUCCUGUCAAAACUCUUCAAAAUUAAGAGUAGAAGAACUCUCAACCCCUCAAAUUAAAUGCUAUGGCAUUCUAUUUUGUGACUGUUGAAAGUUACCACGUAUUUUGAGUCGUCUGUGUCAAUUAUUUAAAUAUGCCCAUUGUUUUUGUAAGAACAUCUAGAAUUGAAAUAUUCAUAUUGACGAAGCAGAAAUGGAAUAUCUAUUGUAAUUAAAACAAACCAAAAUUUGUGGGCACAAUGAUUUCUGUACCGGAAUAUCUCAAGUGACCUCACAGAAGUAACAAUUCCAGCUUUUACCGAA